CAUGGUUGUCGUCAGCUCGUGUCGUGAGAUGUUGGGUUAAGUCCCGCAACGAGCGCAACCCCUAUUGUUAGUUGCCAUCAUUCAGUUGGGCACUCUAGCGAGACUGCCGGUAAUAAACCGGAGGAAGGUGGGGAUGACGUCAAAUCAUCAUGCCCCUUAUGACCUGGGCUACACACGUGCUACAAUGGUUGGUACAACGAGUUGCGAGUCGGUGACGGCGAGCCUAAAUCUCUUUAAAGCCAAAUCUCAGUUCGGAUUGUAGGCUGCAACUCGCCUACAUGAAGUCGGAAUCGCUAGUAAUCGCGGAUCAGCACGCCGCGGUGAAUACGUUCCCGGGCCUU
rnacentral:rRNA from 1 species